AGGGGAGCGUUCUGUAAGCCCGUGAAGGUGGCCUGUGAGGGUUGCUGGAGGUAUCAGAAGUGCGAAUGCUGACAUAAGUAACGAUAAAGCGGGUGAAAAGCCCGCUCGCCGGAAGACCAAGGGUUCCUGUCCAACGUUAAUCGGGGCAGGGUGAGUCGACCCCUAAGGCGAGGCCGAAAGGCGUAGUCGAUGGGAAACGGGUUAAUAUUCCCGUACUUGGUGUUACUGCGAAGGGGGGACGGAGAAGGCUAUGUUGGCCGGGCGACGGUUGUCCCGGUUUAAGCGUGUAGGUGUGUGUUCCAGGUAAAUCCGGUUCACUUUAACACUGAGGCGUGAUGACGAGGCACUACGGUGCUGAAGCAACAAAUGCCCUGCUUCCAGGAAAAGCCUCUAAGCAUCAGGUAACAUCAAAUCGUACCCCAAACCGACACAGGUGGUCAGGUAGAGAAUACCAAGGCGCUUGAGAGAACUCGGGUGAAGGAACUAGGCAAAAUGGUGCCGUAACUUCGGGAGAAGGCACGCUGACACGUAGGUGAAGUGAUUUACUCACGGAGCUGAAGUCAGUCGAAGAUACCAGCUGGCUGCAACUGUUUAUUAAAAACACAGCACUGUGCAAACACGAAAGUGGACGUAUACGGUGUGACGCCUGCCCGGUGCCGGAAGGUUAAUUGAUGGGGUCAGCGCAAGCGAAGCUCCUGAUCGAAGCCCCGGUAAACGGCGGCCGUAACUAUAACGGUCCUAAGGUAGCGAAAUUCCUUGUCGGGUAAGUUCCGACCUGCACGAAUGGCGUAAUGAUGGCCAGGCUGUCUCCACCCGAGACUCAGUGAAAUUGAACUCGCUGUGAAGAUGCAGUGUACCCGCGGCAAGACGGAAAGACCCCGUGAACCUUUACUAUAGCUUGACACUGAACAUUGAGCCUUGAUGUGUAGGAUAGGUGGGAGGCUUUGAAGUGUGGACGCCAGUCUGCAUGGAGCCGACCUUGAAAUACCACCCUUUAAUGUUUGAUGUUCUAACGUGGACCCGUAAUCCGGGUUGCGGACAGUGUCUGGUGGGUAGUUUGACUGGGGCGGUCUCCUCCUAAAGAGUAACGGAGGAGCACGAAGGUUGGCUAAUCCUGGUCGGACAUCAGGAGGUUAGUGCAAUGGCAUAAGCCAGCUUGACUGCGAGCGUGACGGCGCGAGCAGGUGCGAAAGCAGGUCAUAGUGAUCCGGUGGUUCUGAAUGGAAGGGCCAUCGCUCAACGGAUAAAAGGUACUCCGGGGAUAACAGGCUGAUACCGCCCAAGAGUUCAUAUCGACGGCGGUGUUUGGCACCUCGAUGUCGGCUCAUCACAUCCUGGGGCUGAAGUAGGUCCCAAGGGUAUGGCUGUUCGCCAUUUAAAGUGGUACGCGAGCUGGGUUUAGAACGUCGUGAGACAGUUCGGUCCCUAUCUGCCGUGGGCGCUGGAGAACUGAGGGGGGCUGCUCCUAGUACGAGAGGACCGGAGUGGACGCAUCACUGGUGUUCGGGUUGUCAUGCCAAUGGCACUGCCCGGUAGCUAAAUGCGGAAGAGAUAAGUGCUGAAAGCAUCUAAGCACGAAACUUGCCCCGA
rnacentral:rRNA from 1 species